GACGAACGCUGGCGGCGUGCUUAACACAUGCAAGUCGAACGGAAAGGCCCUGCUUUUGUGGGGUGCUCGAGUGGCGAACGGGUGAGUAACACGUGAGUAACCUGCCCUUGACUUUGGGAUAACUUCAGGAAACUGGGGCUAAUACCGGAUAGGAGCUCCUGCUGCAUGGUGGGGGUUGGAAAGUUUCGGCGGGUGGGGAUGGACUCGCGGCUUAUCAGCUUGUUGGUGGGGGAGUGGCUUACCAAGGCUUUGACGGGUAGCCGGCAUGAGAGGGUGACCGGGCACAUUGGGACUGAGAUACGGCCCAGACUGCUACGGGAGGCAGCAGUGGGGAAUAUUGCACAAUGGGCGGAAGUCUGAUGCAGCAACGCCGCGUGCGGGAUGACGGCCUUCGGGUUGUAAACCGCUUUCGCCUGUGACGCAGCGUGAGUGACGGUAAUGGGUAAAGAAGCACCGGCUAACUACGUG
rnacentral:rRNA from 1 species